GAGAAGUGUUGGCGGAGCUUCGAGUCGCAGAGAGAUUUGGAAUCUCUAAAACCCCAGUGCGCGAGGCACUGCACCUGCUU
rnacentral:tRNA from 1 species